GCUACUUUGUACAGUAGGGGAGCAAAUUACUUCUGCUGCUCCCUCAAGACUGUAGCUUUUGUUAAUGGAUGGUGCAAAGGAAACAAAGGACUGGAGCGAGACCCUCACCUUUCCUCUGGAGUACUAAUGGAAAAGCAGGUUUCCUGCCUCUCAGCCCCUGGAUGAUGCUGGCCU
rnacentral:lncRNA from 1 species